AGUGAACGCUGGCGGUAGGCCUAACACAUGCAAGUCGAACGGCAUCACAGUAAGAGCUUGAUCUUGCGGAUGGCGAUUGGCGGACGGGUGAGGAAUACAUCGGAAUCUACUUUUUCGUAGAGGAUAACGGAGGGAAACUUACGCUAAUAACGCAUACGACCUACGGGGGAGAGCAGGGGAUCUUCGGACCUUGCGCGAUUGAAUGAGCCCAUGUCGGAUUGGAUAGUUGGCGGGGUACAGGCCAGCCAAAGCGGCGAUCCGUAGCUAGUCUGAGAGGAUGAUCAGCCACACUGAAACUGAGACACGGUCCAGACUCCUACGGGAGGCAGCAGUGGAGAAUAUUCGACAAUGGGCGCAAGCCUGAUCCAGCCAUACCGCGUGGGUGAAGAAGGCCUUCGGGUUGUAAAGCCUGUUUGUUGGGAAAGAAAAGCAGCAGGUUAAUACCCCGCUGUUCUGACGGUAACCAAAGAAUAGGCACCCGCUAAGUUCGUG
rnacentral:rRNA from 1 species